rnacentral:lncRNA from 1 species
UAAUAACCUCCAAUCCAACUAUCUAAUUAAGCUCAAAUUUAUAACAUAUAUUUAUUGCAAAUAUACUCACAACUUCAAAAAAUUUAACUUAUAGAUUUGCUACAAAACUUACAAAAUUAUUUAAAUUAAAAAUCCUAUUUUAUUUUAUAAAAUCUAGAAUAAGUUAAAAAAAUCUUAGCUUUGUAAAGCUUGUACAAAGUUUUUAAAAACUCAAAUUCCUUAUAAUUGAUGUUUUAAGAAACACUAUAAAGUCUUCUCCCGAAUUCCACUCUUUGAUUUGCAAAAAAAUCCUUGAACCUCUGUUAGUGCAUAGCUUUGUACUUUAAGAUUUGAUUUUGAUCCUAGUUGGCAAUUGGUCAUUUUUGGGU